GCACAGAGUUAGCCGGUGCUUCCUUUGAGGGUACCGUCACUUUCCGGGGCUGUUAACCCCAGAAGCAUUCGUUCCCUCCGACAGAGCUUUACGACCCGAAGGCCUUCAUCACUCACGCGGCGUUGCUGCGUCAGGCUUUCGCCCAUUGCGCAAUAUUCCCCACUGCUGCCUCCCGUAGGAGUCUGGACCGUGUCUCAGUUCCGGUGUGGCUGAUCAUCCUCUCAGACCAGCUAACCAUCUUUGCCUUGGUAGGCCGUUACCCUACCAACUAGCUAAUGGUGCGCAGGCCCAUCUCUUAGUGAUAGCUUACAAGUAGAGGCUAUCUUUGGCCGCGGUUUUCGAAAAAACCGUGGUCUUAUUCGGUAUUAGCACACCUUUCGACAUGUUAUCCCGAUCUUAGAGGCAGGUUACCUACGUGUUACUCACCCGUGCGCCACUUUACUCAGGGCCGAAGCCCCUUUCUCGUUCGACUUGCAUGUGUUAGGCACGCCGCCAGCGUUCGUU
rnacentral:rRNA from 1 species